UUUAUAUUAUGUCUGUCACAUAGUGUGACAGUUAUUAAUUUAUUUUGUAUUGAGUUAAUUACCUGUCCAAGAAUAUGCUUUUUGUAUUGGCAUGUCUGCUGGAUAUCUGUUAAUUUUGUUGUGUUCUGUGUUAUAAGACAUGUGUGAUAUUACAAUGAGUAUGAAGAAUAUUUAAAGAAUAUUUGCAUGUCAUUAAAGCAAGCCUUUAGUGUCUUUUUACAACAGAUUUAAAAAAAAAAAACGCUGAUCAGCCAACAAGAAAGGGAAAGAAAAAGAAAAAAUAUAUCAUUUGCUUUUCAAAAUCA